AGUCGCUCUCCAGCUCCAUACGAAAGUCAGUGAUUCGCGUGGCGUUCUUUGUAGCGUAAAUGAAAUGCUUGAAUAAAACGGUGGCUAGUCCUUUAUGGGCUGCUAUUACCAAACCCUCGCGACAUUU
rnacentral:snoRNA from 1 species